rnacentral:RNase_P_RNA from 1 species
CUGCUCUUUUGGGCGAUCGCCCCCGGCUUACGCCGCGGGAGGAACGUCCGGGCACCAACGGAACGCUGAGUGGGUAACACCCAUCUGCCCGUCAUAUACCUAAAAGACGGGUACGGACCAGUGCCACAGAGACGAGCUCCGCAUUCGCGGGGUGUGAAACGCCUCGGAAACCGAGGACCCUAAGCGCAAGCUUUGGGUUGGUAAACUUCUCGGUGGUGCAAGGAGGAAUUGGGCCAACGGAAAUUCGCGGUGGUUCCGCCGCGCCGCAGGCCCCUCCGCAUUGAGGUUGUGAGGCAACUCCAACCCCAGAGAGAUGAUCGUCAUCCCACGAAAGUGGGACACAGAACCCGGCGUACAGAGAGAGCAGACCC